GGGUCAGUAGGCUGGUCGUGCCACCGGUACGUACUGGUCUCACUGAUCCCUCCUUCCUGAAGAACCGUAAUGCCAUUAAUUUGGUGUUGCGGGGAAGCAGGACUGUUACUUUGAAAAAAUUAGAGUGUUUAAAGCAAGCCAACGCUUGAAUACAUUAGCAUGGAAUAAUGAAAUAGGACGAUCGAUCCUAUUUUGUUGGUUUCUAGGAUUGACGUA
rnacentral:rRNA from 1 species